CAGUCUUCAAUAAAUAUGUUUUACUAAUCAGUUAGCAUGAAUUAAUAUUGAAAUCCUCUGUAGGUUUAGCAAGUCAGUGAACAUUGGUGAGGCCCCUCUGUUGCUGCCAGUGCUGCUGGAUGUUGGCAGUGUUGCUGGCAGCACCCAGCUGUUCCUGGCACCACUGUGGAGCACAAGUGGGCCCAGGAGGUCCAGGGGCAGUAGCAGUGCUGGAAGGACAGAUGCACACAUGCCCCGAGGGAGAAGCUCCUGGGAAACAUUGCUCUUGGGAGAACCCCCCAUGCAGCAGGGCCUGCCUGAGGGCAGGGGGGCUGCCAGCUUGAGCCAAGGUGGCAGUGGCCAGGCAGUGCUUGCAAGAAGCUCUGGAGACCCCUUUUUCCAGGACACAGGGCUGCUUGUGUGUAUACCUGAGCAGCAGAAGGAGGAUGCUGCUCUCACCUGCACACAGGACCCUUGGUCAUGGCAGGGCAAUCCCCAGCCAGCAAUGCAGAGGAGUUUGUAUGCUGCAUUUAAACCACCAAGCAGACCAACUCCUAAGCUGCCUGGGCAGCAUUUUCUCUUGCCUCCCCAUCCUUAGCAGGGCAGGAGCCAUACAGUGCCUGCUGACUGUGCCUUCUCUGGCCCAUCACAAGAAGAUGAGCAGCAUCCCUGAGGACUAAAUGGCCAAGGUGGCAGGGAGAGUGGCUCCACGCUGGGGUCAACACUUGAGUCUUGUCAUGCUGAUGCUCCUUGGCAUCCUUGACAAUUAUGAUUCUUCCCUGCUUCCACCUUGUGCAAACACCUUAGAGCUGGAACACCAAGAAAUGAAUAGGCUGAACCCUUCGAGCUGCCCCUGUUCAGACAGAUAGACAGGCUGUGGGGUGCCCGAGCCCAUUCUGCUCUGCUCUGAGGACAGCAGACACAGGGAAAAUGCCUGAAGAGCUGAGCACGCAGCUGCAACAGGAGCUGGGUGUUUGGUUACUGGUUAGAAUAAUUUUGGUCUUGCUCAGCUGCUCUUUGCUUCCCUCACUGCGGGGGUCUGACACCCCUCCUGUGAGCAGAGGCAGGUGCCCCAGCCAGCAGGGUUUCUGCUUUCCUGAACUGGACAUGUCUGCCUGCUGCGGGCAAGCAUGUCAAAUCACACCUACCAUAUUGGCUUCCUGUCCCCAGAACAUCAGAUUUUUGCAGCUAAUGUGUGGGGGGUGUCUCCUCCCGCCAAUCUCCACCCCCAGCAGCAUCAGGUCUGUGCUGUUCGGGGUUUUGUUAAGCCGUUUAGUAUUAAUUGAUUUUUUUUUCCAUUUUUUCUUUCUUUCCCUGGGCGGGUCAAUAGCUGGAUGCUCAAGAGCAGAGGAUCUAUCAACUGCAGACCAAGCAGAGGGAGAGGCAGGCAGACCUGGAGCAGAAAUGCAGCCAGAGCAGCAGCUCAGCCAGGACCCGGGGGCCAGCCACCAGCUACGGAAGGGAGCUUGGAGCAGAUGUUUAGCAGCUGUCCCCAGUCUCCAAGGUAUGACACAGCCAGGUGGUCCUAACCUUGCUGAAGAUCCGGGGCAUUUGCACCAUUUUUCUCACAAGAUCUCACUGCAGUCUCAGCUGCUGUAGCUCUGUUCCUCCUCAGGAAUUAGGCUUGGGGCUCUGCUAGAAUAAAAUCAGAUGAAGAUGGAGAGAUAGAUCUGUGGAAACGUUUGUUUGGUGCCCAGGAGCAGCCCAAAAGGCAAACUGACUGUUAACAAUUAUGAAGAAAAUAAUGGGGACCAGAUCACAGUUCUGCCAAUGAACAGAUUCAUAGUGAAAGCUGUACUGUGAUUUCUAUAUGCAGCUGUCUGCCUCUCUCAAGAAAAAGAUUUGGAAGUGUUUCAGAGAAGACCAACAAGGAUGAUAAAAUACAAAGAAUAUUUUCCAUGUGAGUAAAAAGUGGAUAGUAUUUUUAGGCUGGAAAAAAAUAGACUGAAGGGGAUUAUAGUACAAAGUUUAGCAAAUAGACGUUGCCUGCAGUAUGAUUUCUCGCCAUCCCUUCAAUGUAAGAACCAGCAGCACCCCAUAAAUUAGCAGGUAAUAACAAAAAAAGCAAAAACCAGAUAUUUUUUGAACAUUGUGCUGUGUCAGACUGCUUCACACAGGGUGUGGUGCACCCCCAAAGCUCAUAUGUAUUCAAAAAUAAAUAAAACAUUUUAAUGGGAGAAAAUAUCCACUCACAUUGAUGGCAUGCAAGAGCCCAUUUCUGCUUCCGGAGCCCAUGGGCUGCAGGUGGCUGAGGCUGGCAGAGUGUUCCUGGAAGCACUGUGGGACCUGUGGCCUCUGUACCCCAGCAUGGAUGCACCAACCAGACUCCAGGAACAAAUCACCAAAGUGCACAGUCUUCUAGAACAGCCCACCAGUGGAGAAAUAGAAAACAGGUUUUUUGUAGCUAUACUGGAACUUCACAGUUGAUUUUAAGCCUCUUAGACAGUAUAAUACUGACUGCAAGUUCCUGCUGAGGGCUAUCGACUCCAGCCUGUGCCAAGCUGCAGGGAACACCCUGUGCCAUGCCUGCGUGUGAUGGAGCAUGUCUCUGCACCAACAGUGUGACUGACUCAGAUCAGAAACCAGCUUCCUGGGAUUUCCCACCAGCAUCCUUUCACACUGCCAUCCGGCAGCAGAGAUCUGUGCAUCCACCAGGUGACAGGCACCAGAAGACAGCAUCAUCUUCAAACCACACGGAGGGAUUAGUGCAGGCUGGAAGCAGCCCCGUGCUGCCCUCUGUCCAGGGUGGGACACACUGCCUGGUGGGCUGUGUGGAAGGAGGGGGCUUGCACUGCAGAGGUGGCUUUCCCAGGUUGUGUGCUUGUAAGCAGACACCGUGGCAAACAAUUUGAAUGUUGUAGUGUAACUCCUAAUCUGGUUCUUUUGAAGCACCUGCUGUUGUGCUAAGGAAUGUCUGCAUGAUGGAAUGCAAGGCUAUACCUUAAGUACUUCAAAUUAAUUGAGAGCAGUAGUGUUUCAUGCUGUGGGACCACAUCGAGGCCACUGACUAUUUACAGUGCUGUAGGUAAGAGCUGCAGGCAGCAUGGAUUGUGUGGGCAGGAUGGGCAGGACGGACAGGAGGGCCAGUGUGGGCCGUGCAGACCAGGCACCAGAGCAGCAGCUGACAAAGGUCAGCUGUGUGGUGCUGUUUUGUUAUUACUUCAGGCAGCAUCUCUGCUUCGUCACACGCUUCCUAUUCUGUGACACACUGCUCUCAGCAGUGAUUCAGCAGUUACAGAUUCUCCAUUUUUUUAUCAAGGUUAAUUCCCCAUCACCAUUAUUUUUGCAUACCUUCUACUGCAAGAAUGAAGAGGCCAGUACUGAGCAGCAGUGAAUGCUCAACCAGCAUAGUAACCAGCCAAAUUCCAUAUUAGCAGCAUGGUUUAAAUACCCAGCCUGCUUCUACAUGGUGAUCAAUAACACAGUGGAAGGGAAUGGAAGGGGCCCCUGCUCCAGUUGGGUAAUGCUCCCCUAUUUCUGGAGUUUGUAAGCACAAUAUCAAAAUUACAAAGCACAACACUUUCCAUUUCUUGCUAUCAUUUUGAAUUAAAGACUUUCUAUUGAAGACACUCACUUCAAAAACCAGCUAGGCACUUUCUAAUAUCAAGCAAAAUGCCUGAAGAAUAAAUUGCUCCUAUCAGAAAUAAAGCAUUUUAGUUCUGCCAGAAGCAGAGAGAUCUGUGUUUGUAAGUCCCUCCAAAGGCAACUCCAUCUUUCCUGUUUUCCUCUCAUUUUCUUUUGAUGCACGAAGCCUGCACAUUGCAGUGCUGUGAUUGGAUUCAGCUUUGGAGCAGUGUAAUGGUAAAUAUUCAUUGGAAUCCAAGCUAGUUUUCCCAAGUCUCU
ensembl:lncRNA